AUUUGUAUAAUAUAAUAAUAAUAUUUUUGACUUCCAAUCAAAUAAUCUAGAAAUAGUACAAAUA
rnacentral:tRNA from 1 species